UUACCUACGGGGGGCAGCAGUGGGGAAUAUUGCACAAUGGGGGGAACCCUGAUGCAGCAACGCCGCGUGGGUGAAGAAGUACUUCGGUAUGUAAAGCCCUGUCAGCAGGGAAGAAAAUGACGGUACCUGACCAAGAAGCCCCGGCUAACUACGUGCCAGCAGCCGCGGUAAUACGUAGGGGGCAAGCGUUAUCCGGAUUUACUGGGUGUAAAGGGAGCGUAGACGGCAAGGCAAGUCUGGAGUGAAAGCCCGUGGCUCAACCACGGGACUGCUUUGGAAACUGUGUUGCUGGAGUGCAGGAGGGG
rnacentral:rRNA from 1 species